rnacentral:lncRNA from 10 species
UGAUCAUAAUUACAUCUGUGACUAGGCCUCAGUAGUAGACAUAGUGCACAUCAAUCAUUCCCAUAGACUUAAAAAAUGCAUGAGGAAUUUUGCUUAUUUUCUCACAGAACCAUUCCAACAAAUUGCCCAAGGAGUAACUAGCCAUGAUUGACAUGAAACCAGAGGUAAUACUCUAUAACCCCAUCUCCAUUCUCAUUAUACUUUAAGCAUCCAUGCAUGAAGAAACUUGUUUUCUCUAAGCCAUGGUCCACCUCCAAAGGUGACUGACUGUAGGGAUCUGAUCUCCACCCCAGUGACAGGUGCAGCUAUAUUUGCUCAAGAGGAGUUGGGCUAUGAUGCAGUAACAUAGAACUCCAAAAUCUCAAUGUAUUAAUACAGCUAUGUUUAGAUUUCUUAUGUUUUAUGUCCACUGAGAGUCAGCGGGAGGUUUGCACCACACAGCCACUGAAGAACUCAGGCCCCAACAUCUUGUGGCUGCAACAUGAGAAAAAAGAGGGCCUCCACUGUACUGCUGAAGAAUAGAGUGCAGAGAACUCACAACCUUUUUGUAUGUUUAGUCUGGACUUUGACACAAUCAUUUCUACUCACCACGGAUUGCAGCCUUGAUCUCCCAGGCUCAAGCAAUUCUCCCACUUCAGCCUCCUGGCUGAUGACUGGCCAAAGCCAGUCACAUGCCCUGCCUAGCUGAAAGGCAGCUGAGAUAUGUGGGUGCCAUAACUGGGGAACAGUAAAUGUUUUUACCUAGGUGUCUACUGCAUAAUGCCAGCUGGCACACCUGGAUCAGUGCACCAAACACAAACACCUCAGGUGAAAUUUACUGUUUGGCGUGCAUAUAUUUAAAUUUACUCGUCAAGACAAAAUAUAAUACCUCCUUCCUAACACGACUAAAACUCACAAUCUUAGUCAACUCCCAAUAAUAUAUCUAAUAUAGCUGGUUAAUUAAUUAGAAAAAGAGAAUCUUCUCCCUUUUUGUAGCCUCUGGGACUUGGAAAGUAGCUAAAAUCCCUUAUUUGGGAUGUCAUUAUUGUUUGGCCAUUACUUCUGCUGGGGGACACUUCGUCUCUUGGUGGCUCAGACUCUUACUCCAUUCCCCACUGUAGAAUUAGUGGCUGCCAUUCAGGAAAUGCUCAAAAAGCUUAGCUGGCCUACUUUUGCAAAGGUCUUCUUUCCACAAGACACCUUAGAAAUUCUCUGUAAUUCUUCAUUUUAUAGAAUAAGAAUCUGAAAUUUGGGCUGGGCGUAGUGGCUCAUGCCUGUAAUCCUAGCACUUUGGGAGGCUGAGGUGGGUGGAUCACUUGAGCUCAGGAGUUCGAGACCAACCUGGAAAACAUAGUGAGACCCCAUCUCAAUACAUAAAAAAAAAAUUCUGGCCGGGCGUGGUGGCUCACACCUGUAAUCCCAGCACUUUGGGAAGCCGAGGCGGGCGGAUCACAAGGUCAGGAGAUCGAGACCAUCCUGGCUAACACGGUGAAACCCCGUCUCUACUAAAAAUACCAAAAAAUUAGCUGGGCGUGGCGGCGUGCAGCUGUAGUCCCAGCUGCUGGGGAG